CCAAUAGCGUAUAUUAAAGUUGUUGCAGUUAAAAAGCUCGUAGUUGAAUUUCGGGAUUCGUCCAUUGGUCAGGCUUAACUGUCUGUACUGGUGUGUCGGAUUUCUACCUUCUGAAGAACCUUUAUGCCAUUAAUUUGGUGUGUUGGGGAAUCAGGACUGUUACUUUGAAAAAAUUAGAGUGUUUAAAGCAGGCUAACGUCUGAAUACAUUAGCAUGGAAUAAUGAAAUAGGACGGUACGGUUCUAUUUUGUUGGUUUCUAGGAUCGCCGUAAUGAUUAAUAGGGAUAGUUGGGGGCAUUAGUAUUCAAUUGUCAGAGGUGAAAUUCUUGGAUUUAUUGAAGACUAACUACUGCGAAAGCAUUUGCCAAGGAUGUUUUCAUUAAUCAAGAACGAAAGUUAGGGGGUCGAAGACGAUCAGAUACCGUCGUAGUCUUAACCAUAAACUAUGCCGACUAGGGAUUGGACGAUGUUAAUUUUUUAAUGACUCGUUCAGCACCUUACG
rnacentral:rRNA from 1 species